rnacentral:rRNA from 1 species
UACGUAGGGGGCAAGCGUUGUCCGGAUUUAUUGGGCGUAAAGGGCUCGUAGGUGGCCAACUAAGUCAGACGUGAAAUCCCUCAGCUUAACUGGGGAACUGCGUCUGAUACUGGAUGGCUUGAGUUUGGGAGAGGGAUGCGGAAUUCCAGGUGUAGCGGUGAAAUGCGUAGAUAUCAGGAGGAACACCGGUGGCGAAGGCGGGUCUCUGGGCCGAUACUGACGCUGAGGAGCGAAAGCGUGGGGAGCGAACAGG